UUCUCAUCAUCUCCAUGUGGUGUUCUGGGUGCUGCCACCCUGGAAUGCUGGGCGGACCUGUCUCCAGCUCGUCUCACCUGAGAGGCUAACAUCAAAUUGUUCCAGUGAAUCACGUAAUUAGCCAACCAAACAUAUGAAAAAAAAAAAAAAAAACACGACUGACAUGGUAUUAGCCGCCACUUCUGAGACCUUCCAGAAAGCACCGAGGACCAACAGACACUUGUGGAGGUGUAUGAGAAUCUCCGCAUAGUAGGUCUGCCAGUCUAUGAGAAUCUAGGAUCAAACGUUAAGUCAGCUGGAUCAACCAUGAGCCAGUAAGAAGACUAUCAAGAUGGCUCUGCCCGGCUUAAGUGCUAACGUUGAAAAUAAAAAUAAGUAAAUGAGAGAAAGACAGGCCUUAUAAUUCAGAGUGGGGAGAAGGAGGAAUGUGAAAGGCUUACACAACGCCAACUGAAAGGAUGCACAGGUGAUAUAUGGGCUGAGAAGCCAUCUUUCUGCAUUUCCAAAUACAUUCUGACUUUCUCAUCCAACGUGCCAACCCUGAGCCGUCAGCAGACAGCGAGUGGUCUCUGCCUGCAUGCUCCAUUGCCAACUCUAAGGAAACGCUGUUAGUGGGGAAGGUGGAAACAUGACUAGGCUCCUGUUUACCACGGCUUUUUUGAGAGGAAGAUUUGGCCCAGCAUCUAGAGACCUUCCCCAGCUCCCUGUCCCUGACGAGCAUAACCAGAAGAGUAAAAGCUCUGCACGCAACAUUACCCUCUGCAGCAGUUUGUAUUCUAUUUCCUC